rnacentral:lncRNA from 1 species
AGCAAGUGGACCUUCUGGGAUUCCUGGGCCCAUGGUAUGGUUUUGAUUGUUUAAGUGAUAUCCCUCUUUGACUGAUUUAUGAUUGCAAGAGUGACAGUGAAAAUAUUUUUCCCCCUAGGGUCUUCCAGGGAAUAUGGGGCAACCUGGAAUCAAAGGUGAUAAGGGAGCUCUUGGUUUGCCAGGACCACCAGGGAUGAGAGGAAAGCCAGGACCUUCUGGACCAGCAGGUGACCCAGGCCCCCAAGGACCAUGUGGCCCAUCAGGACCAGAG